AAUAACGCAGGGUCGAACGCUUCCUACCGGUGCUUGCACCGGGAAAGAAGAGUGGCGGACGGGUGAGUAACACGUGGGUAACCUACCUACAAGCGGGGGAUAACAUUCGGAAACGGAUGCUAAUACCGCAUAGAUCUUUUUGUCUCCUGGCAGAAAGAAGAAAGACGGUUUCGGCUGUCACUUGUAGAUGGACCCGCGGCGCAUUAGUUAGUUGGUGAGGUAAUGGCUCACCAAGACGAUGAUGCGUAGCCGACCUGAGAGGGUGAUCGGCCACACUGGGACUGAGACACGGCCCAGACUCCUACGGGAGGCAGCAGUAGGGAAUCUUCCGCAAUGGACGAAAGUCUGACGGAGCAACGCCGCGUGAGUGAAGAAGGUUUUCGGAUCGUAAAACUCUGUUGUUAGAGAAGAACAAGGAUGAGAGUAACUGCUCGUCCCUUGACGGUAUCUAACCAGAAAGCCAUGGCUAACUACGUGCCAGCAGCCGCGGUAAUACGUAGAUGGGCAAGCGUUGUCCGGAUUUAUUGGGCGUAGAGCGAGCGCAGGCGGUUCUUUAAGUCUGAUGUGAAAGCCCCUGGGCUCAACCACGGAGGGUCAUUG
rnacentral:rRNA from 1 species